rnacentral:tRNA from 1 species
CAAAAAGUAGCUUAAACAAAGCACUCAACUUACAAUUGAAAUAUGCUAGUUAAUUCUGGCCUUUUUGC